rnacentral:lncRNA from 1 species
CGGGACGGCAUCUUCUGCUACUACGACGGUAGAAUCAACGUUAGACGACAUCGUUAAAUGGGGUGUGUGUGGUUUUGUUUAUAGCAAAUUGAGUGGCUUUUAAAUAAAAGGGUGGAGGAAUGGGUAGUACUAGAGUGGUGCAAGAUAGCAAAGGUGGUGGGGUGGUGGAGAUUGUUGUUGUAUUGAUGAUGUUGAGUGAAAUAUAAAAGUAGAGGAAAAUAGGGUGGUGAGUGGUGAUGGUGGGUGGGGAAUGGGUGGCUAGUGCUAGAUAGGUGCAAGAUAGCAUAGGUGGUGGGGUUGGUUGAGGUUGUUGUAUGAUUGAUGUUGAGACAUAAAGGGUGGUGUGAAAGAUAGGGGUUGGGGGAUGGGUUAGAGGCGCAAGAUAGCAAAUGUGAUGAGGUGGUGGAGGUUGUAUGAUGAUGAUGAUGUUGAGUGAGAUAUAAAAUGAGUAGGAAAAUAAGGUGGGUAAUGGCCUAAUGGGUAGUGUUAGAGAGGCUCCAGAUAGCAAAGGUGGUAGGGUGGUUGAUGUUGAGACAUAAUCGAUGGUGUGAAUAAUGGGUAAAUAAUCUUUUGAUUAACCUAAAGUCCUUUGAAGAUCAGUAUUGAUGAGGGAUAGUAUAAAAAUAUUCACAUGUUAUCCAUCGACUAAUGAAUAAAGAUGAGGUGGUAGAGGUUAUUGUAUGAUGAUGUUGAAUGAGUAGGAAAAUAAGGUGGGGAAAUGGGUAGUGCUAGAGUGGCGCAAGAUAGCAAAAGUUAAGGGGUGGUUGAGGUUGUUGUACUUGUAUGAUGAUGAUGUUGAGACAUGGUGGGGGGUGGGGGGGGGGGGGAGGGGGGGGGGGUGUAAAAAAAAUUAGGGGUAGGCUGGGUGUAACCGUUUGUUGUUUCUCGGCGAUUUGUUGAUUAUUAGAUCUGAUUGCUGCAACAGUAGUACCAUUUUCCAUGGCGUCCAUGUUAUCAAAGAAGAACCAAGAUGAGAAAAACCUACCGGUCGGGCAGGAAAGGGAUCUCUGCUUCUCAGCACGGUAGCGUUGCCGGAGUUUUUCCAUUUUGUGUCGGCACUGAGCUGAUGUUUUCGCCGGAGAAGCAUCUGGGCAGCGGCUGGUCACGGUGGCUGCCACCGCAUCCCAGUCAGCCGUCCGUAGGUACCCACGGCGGAGCGCGUACCAUCGUUCACGGUAGGCUUCAAUAAGAGCUAAAGUCUCUUCUUGGGUCCAACACGGCGGUGGAAAUCUCCUCGCCGGCGGCGGUGGCUUCUCCUCCGGGACGGCAUCUUCUGCUACUACGACGGUAGAAUCAACGUUAGACGACAUCGUUAAAUGGGGUGUGUGUGGUUUUGUUUAUAGCAAAUUGAGUGGCUUUUAAAUAAAAGGGUGGAGGAAUGGGUAGUACUAGAGUGGUGCAAGAUAGCAAAGGUGGUGGGGUGGUGGAGAUUGUUGUUGUAUUGAUGAUGUUGAGUGAAAUAUAAAAGUAGAGGAAAAUAGGGUGGUGAGUGGUGAUGGUGGGUGGGGAAUGGGUGGCUAGUGCUAGAUAGGUGCAAGAUAGCAUAGGUGGUGGGGUUGGUUGAGGUUGUUGUAUGAUUGAUGUUGAGACAUAAAGGGUGGUGUGAAAGAUAGGGGUUGGGGGAUGGGUUAGAGGCGCAAGAUAGCAAAUGUGAUGAGGUGGUAGUGGUGAAGGUUGAGGUAGUUGAAUGAUGAUGUUGAGAGGUAGGGGGGUGGACAUUGAAUUUUGGCAAGUUGUUUGCUUAAUAGUGGGUGGGGGGAUUAUGAUGAAUGAUGACACACAAAAGGAUAAGGGGGAGAGAGAUAGUGUCUUUGAUAAUGCUAACAUGCACAUCCUACACCUACUCCACUAAACCACCACCACCACCCCUACUCACUUUUCUAGAUAUUUUAGUGACCCAUCCCCACCUUACCCCUACCCCUAGUGGUUUGAGGGGGUAGGGGGUCUAGCAAUUGUUGUGUCAUUAAAAACAAGCCCAUGACAGAUGGCUUAGUGAAAUGUCCAAUAUCACUCUAGUAUAUGAUAUAGUAUGGUGGGCAAAUGAAGGUACCAACCAAUAAGAUGGGUGGCUUCAUUGACCAAAAUUUCCC